UGGUUAUGGCAUAGACGACUAGGUCACGUUGGCAUGAGAAACCUUGACAAGCUUAUUAAAGGAAAUCAUAUCCUUGGAGUUAAAGAUGUCAUAUUUGAUAAGGAUAGACUUUGCAGUGCUUGUCAAGCAGGUAAACAGGUUGGAGGAAGACAUCCCGUGAAGAGCAUCAUGACCACAAGGAGGCCACUCGAGCUACUUCACAUGGAUCUUUUUGGUCCCAACGCCUACAAGAGUCUCGGUGGAAAUUCUUUUGGUCUAGUUAUAGUUGAUGAUUUUUCAAGAUUUACGUGGGUGUUCUUUCUUAAUGACAAAUCGCAGGUCUAG
rnacentral:rRNA from 1 species